rnacentral:rRNA from 1 species
UUUGAUCCUGGCUCAGGAUUAACGCUGGCGGCGUGCCUAAUACAUGCAAGUCGAACGGAAACCUUCGGGUUUUAGUGGCGAACGGGUGAGUAACACGUAAGCAACCUACCCUAAAGACGAGGAUAACCAUUGGAAACAGUGGCUAAGACUGGAUAGGAAGAUAAAAGGCAUCUUUUAUCUUUUAAAAGACCUAGUAAUAGGUAUGCUUUAGGAGGGGCUUGCGCCAUAUUAGUUAGUUGGUAGGGUAAUGGCCUACCAAGACGAUGAUGUGUAGCUGGACUGAGAGGUUGAACAGCCACAUUGGGACUGAGACACGGCCCAAACUCCUACGGGAGGCAGCAGUAGGGAAUUUUCGGCAAUGGAGGAAACUCUGACCGAGCAACGCCGCGUGAAUGACGAAGUACUUCGGUAUGUAAAGUUCUUUUAUCAAGGAAGAAAAGCAAAUGGCGAACCAUUUGUUUGCCGGUACUUGAUGAAUAAGCCCCGGCUAAUUAUGUGCCAGCAGCCGCGGUAAGACAUAAGGGGCAAGUGUUAUCCGGAAUUAUUGGGCGUAAAGGGUGCGUAGGCGGUCUAGUAAGUCAGUGGUGUAAUGGCAACGCUUAACGUUGUCCGGCUAUUGAAACUGCUAAACUUGAGUUAGAUAGAGGCGAGUGGAAUUCCAUGUGUAGCGGUAAAAUGCGUAAAUAUAUGGAGGAACACCAGAGGCGUAGGCGGCUCGCUGGGUCUUAACUGACGCUGAGGCACGAAAGCGUGGGGAGCAAACAGGAUUAGAUACCCUGGUAGUCCACGCCGUAAACGAUGAAGUACUAAGUGUCGGGUUAAACCGGUACUGAAGUUAACACAUUAAGUACUCCGCCUGAGUAGUACGUACGCAAGUAUGAAACUUAAAGGAAUUGACGGGACUCCGCACAAGCGGUGGAUCAUGUUGUUUAAUUCGAAGAUACCCGAAAAACCUUACCAGGUCUUGACAUGUUUUUGCAAAAUGAUAGUAAUAUCGUGGAGGUUACCAGAAACACAGGUGGUGCAUGGUUGUCGUCAGCUCGUGUCGUGAGAUGUUAGGUUAAGUCCUAAAACGAGCGAAACCCUUAUCGUUAGUUGCCAGCACGUUAUGGUGGGGACUUUAACGAGACUGCCAAUGAUAAAUUGGAGGAAGGUGAGGAUCACGUCAAAUCAGCAUGCCCCUUAUGACCUGGGCUACAAACGUGAUCCAAUGGCUGUUCCAAAGGGUAGCUGAAACGCAAGUUCUUGGCCAAUCCCCAAAAACAGUCCCAGUCCGGAUUGAAGUCUGCAACUCGACUUCAUGAAGUUGGAAUCGCUAGUAAUCGCGAAUCAGCAUGUCGCGGUGAAUACGUUCUCG